AUGACGGCCUCCUCAUCGAUCCUUCUGCACAGCUCCUCUUCACACAUGAGUUUCAACUUUUCCAGCAGGUGCUCCAUCACCAUGGCGUCGUACCCUCCACGCCGACGACCUCGACGACGCACCGCGUGCCCUUCUCCGGCAUUGGGCCAGGAGCUGAGCUCCGAAGACCGGCGACCGCGCGGCCAGGAGGAACCGGUGCCGCCGCCGGUCACGAAGAUGGCGCCGCCGCUGCCGGUCACGAUGGGCGCGUUGUCCACAUCGAGACGCAUCAUAAAGCACGCCACCGGGUCGUUCAGUUUCGAGGUGACCAACUACUCGCAGCUCAAGGACGCGGGCUUCCACGCGCGCGUCACUUCGCCCGUCUUCAGCUUCGGCGGCCAUGACUGGCAGAUCGCCUUCUACCCGGACGACGAGGACGGCCACGCCUCCUCCUACCUGCGUUAUCUCGGCCCAGCCAUGGAGGUGAGGGCCAAGUUCACGCUGAGCGUGACGGGGAAGGAGGGCCAGCCACCGCUAGUCCGCCGCGACACGCCGGAGCGCGUCUUCACUCCGGAACACUGCCGGAGAACAAGCCAGGGCUUCCUCAAAUUCGUCGCCAAGUCCAAGCUGGACGUAUCCCAUCUAUGUUGUGACUUAUUCUUCUUCUCACCCUAG
rnacentral:rRNA from 1 species